rnacentral:rRNA from 1 species
AGUGAACGCUGGCGGUAGGCCUAACACAUGCAAGUCGAACGGCAGCACAGUAAGAGCUUGCUCUUACGGGUGGCGAGUGGCGGACGGGUGAGGAAUACAUCGGAAUCUACUUUUUCGUGGGGGAUAACGUAGGGAAACUUACGCUAAUACCGCAUACGACCUACGGGUGAAAGCAGGGGAUCUUCGGACCUUGCGCGAUUGAAUGAGCCGAUGUCGGAUUAGCUAGUUGGCGGGGUAAAGGCCCACCAAGGCGACGAUCCGUAGCUGGUCUGAGAGGAUGAUCAGCCACACUGGAACUGAGACACGGUCCAGACUCCUACGGGAGGCAGCAGUGGGGAAUAUUGGACAAUGGGCGCAAGCCUGAUCCAGCCAUACCGCGUGGGUGAAGAAGGCCUUCGGGUUGUAAAGCCCUUUUGUUGGGAAAGAAAAGCGGCAGGUUAAUACCCCGCCGUUCUGACGGUACCCAAAGAAUAAGCACCGGCUAACUUCGUG